rnacentral:lncRNA from 1 species
AUUAUUUUGCCUCUUGUUACAAAUAUUGUUUUAAGAAAGGCCAGAGGACUAAAUAUGGCAGCUUAUGCGGCUUUAGUUUCUCUUAUGAAUACUAUUGAUCACAUCCAAAUUCAUCCUCUUCUUUGCAACUCCAUCGACAAGAAACAUAUGGAAUCUCUUUCCGUUCAUCUCAGUUUCUUGUUAGAUUUUGUAGAGAGUAAUCAUUCUCAUGGAGCUUAUAACAACGAAGCAGAACUUCUGGAGAGCCAAAUUGCACGUGCAGC